AACAGUUUCUCACAGAGUUGUUCAGAAGCAAGUAACACAACAUGAGAAGCACCUCGUUCAGGCCUGGUAGGGGCCCCUUGCUGCUCUUUUUUUGGCAUCCUCCUUGGGCUGGGAUGUCUCCAUCAGCACACUGGGGGGGAACCUUGAGGAAGGAAGGAGGUCUGGCUGCUUCCAGUGCACACCUUGAGUCCUCAAGCCUGAGCUAAAGGGUCCUUAGCUCCACUGGAUGACAUUGUGCCAGGGUUAGCGGGGGGGGGCAAGUAUCAGAUAAUGAUUGUAUGUGCAUUUGUCAUUUCUGUCCACAUCCCUGAGGACCACCACCACCAUCAGGAGCAGAGGCUUACGGUUAUAAUGGGAGAGGAGGACAUUGGUGGAACACCCUCUCUGGGAGUGUCAUGAGAGCUGUUGCUCUCUUCCACCCCAUGUCCAACUAGGAUUUACUAAAGAAAUGCAGGCAAGUUCUAUUAAUAAAAUGCUAUCACAUUAAUUUAAAAAUGCUAUCACACCAAAUUGAAAAAGCCAA
rnacentral:lncRNA from 1 species